UUUGAAUUCAGCCACAAAAGUUAAACUAUAACAGGUCUUUAAUAAUAGAGUUUAAUAGACUAAUUAAUAAGGUUGUAAACACGUUGUGAAUUAAAGAACACGUUGUGAAUUAAAGAACACGUUGUGAAUUAAAGAACACGUUGUGAAUUAAAGAACACGUUGUGAAUUAAAGAACACGUUGUGAAUUAAACUACAGUACCAAAAAUAAUGAGGAAUAACCAUCCAAGGGAAUGACAAAGCAACAAUUGUAAACUUCUCA
rnacentral:lncRNA from 1 species